AACGAACGCUGGCGGCACGCCUCAUACAUGCAAGUCGAGUGCGAAAUUCCUUCGGGAGUGUAUAAAGUGGCGAACGGGUGAGUAACAGGUGGGUAAUCUGCCUCAUGGUGGGGGACAACAGUUGGAAACGGCUGCUAAUACCCCAUGUGAUUGCAUGCUUCUGGCGUGUAAGGAAAGGCGCUUCACAGCGCCGCCAUGAGAUGAGCCCGCCCCCCAUUAGCUAGUUGGUGAGAUAACAGCUCACCAAGGCUUCGAUGGGUAGCCGAGCUGAGAGGUUGAUCGGCCACACUGGAACUGAGACACGGUCCAGACAUCUACGGAUGGCAGCAGUAGGGAAUAUUGCGCAAUGGGCGAAAGCCUGACGCAGCGAUGCCGCGUGAGUGACGAAGGCCCUAGGGUCGUAAAGCUCUUUUCUGAAGGAAGAACGGUUGGGGUAGGAAAUGACCCCGGCGUGACGGUACUUCAGGAAUAAGGGACGGCUAACUCCGUGCCAGCAGCCGCGGUAAUACGGAGGUCCCAAGCGUUGUUCGGAAUUACUGGGCGUAAAGGGAGCGCAGGCGGAUAGGUCAGUUUAAAGUGGAAUCCCGAGGCUCAACCUCGGAAGUGCUUUGGAUACUGCCUGUCUUGAGUUCGUGAGAGGAAAGUGGAAUUCAGGGUGUAGCGGUGAAAUGCUUAGAUAUCCUGAGGAACACCAGUGGCGAAAGCGACUUUCUGGCACGAAACUGACGCUGAGGCUCGAAAGCGUGGGUAGCGAACGGGAUUAGAUACCCCGGUAGUCCACGCCGUAAACGUUGUAUACUAGGUGCAGGAGGUAUCGACCCCUUCUGUGCCGAAGCUAACGCAUUAAGUAUACCGCCUGGGGAGUACGCACGCAAGUGUGAAACUCAAAGGAAUUGACGGGGGCCCGCACAAGCGGUGGAGCAUGUGGUUUAAUUCGAGGCAACGCGAAGAACCUUACCCAGGCUUGACAUCCCAGGACCGCUAUGGAAACAGAGGAGUGCCUUUCGGGGAGCCCCCUACGAGGUGCUGCAUGGUUGUCGUCAGCUCGUGCCGUGAGGUGUCGGGUUAAGUCCCAUAACGAGCGCAACCCCUAUCUUUAGUUGCCAUCAGGUAAUGCUGGGGACUCUAAAGAAACUGCCUACGCAAGUAGUGAGGAAGGUGGGGAUGACGUCAAAUCAGCACGGCCCUUACGUCCAGGGCUACACACGUGCUACAAUGGUCGAUACAGAGGGCAGCUACCUGGUGACAGGAUGCAAAUCUCGAAAAUCGAUCUCAGUUCGGAUCGAAGUCUGCAACUCGACUUCGUGAAGUUGGAUUCGCUAGUAAUCGCAUAUCAGCCAUGAUGCGGUGAAUACGUUCCCGGGCCUUGUACACACCGCCCGUCAAGCCAUGGAAGCUGGGAGUACCUGAAGUACGUGACCGUAAGGAGCGUCCUAGGGUAAAACUAGUAACUAGGGCU
rnacentral:rRNA from 1 species